rnacentral:rRNA from 1 species
AGAGCGAACGCUGGCGGCAUGCUUAACACAUGCAAGUCGCACGGGCAGGGGAAACCCUGUCAGUGGCGGACGGGUGAGUAACGCGUAGGUAUCUAUCCUUGGGUGGGGGACAACGGCUGGAAACGGCUGCUAAUACCGCAUGAUGACCAAGGUCUAAAGGCGCAAGUCGCCUGGGGAGGAGCCUGCGUACGAUUAGCUUGUUGGUGGGGUAAAGGCCUACCAAGGCUACGAUCGUUAGCUGGUCUGAGAGGAUGAUCAGCCACAUUGGGACUGAGACACGGCCCAAACUCCUACGGGAGGCAGCAGUGGGGAAUAUUGGACAAUGGGCGCAAGCCUGAUCCAGCAAUGCCGCGUGUGUGAAGAAGGUCUUCGGAUUGUAAAGCACUUUCGACGGGGACGAUGAUGACGGUACCCGUAGAAGAGCCCCGGCUAACUUCGUGCCAGCAGCCGC